GGCCAUGCUGGCAGGUGGGCCGAUGGGAGGCCCGAGUGGGGAUGGCUGCCCAGAGCCUGGUCUGAGGUCGGUUCUCAGCCUCUGUUCUGAGAAAUUAUAGAUCCGCCAGAGAACGUGCACGCCCAGAAAUUGACCAGGUGAGGCUGGACUUCCUGAGGUUAGCGGGUCCCCACCUCCUGGCGCCCAGGGGUGCCCUGCCCAGCCCGGCGCCAUCUGAUCUGUUCCCAAGCCCCGAAGGUGAGUGGCUGCUGGCUU